AACGAACGCUGGCGGCGUGCCUAACACAUGCAAGUCGAACGGGAAUGGUCCCUUCGGGGGCUUAGUAUAGUGGCGCACGGGUGAGUAAUACGUAGGUGACCUGCCCUUUGCUGGGGAAUAACCCCGGGAAACCGAGGCUAAUUCCGCAUAAGCUCCUCAGAUCGCGGUCUGAGGAGGAAAGGUGGCCUCUUCACGAAAGCUAUCGGCAAAGGUUGGGCCUGCGUCCCAUCAGCUAGUUGGUGAGGUAAUGGCUCACCAAGGCUGCAACGGGUAGCUGGUCUGAGAGGAUGAUCAGCCACACUGGAACUGAGACACGGUCCAGACUCCUACGGGAGGCAG
rnacentral:rRNA from 1 species